rnacentral:rRNA from 1 species
AUACGGAGGAUGCGAGCGUUAUCCGGAUUUAUUGGGUUUAAAGGGAGCGUAGGUGGGAUAUUAAGUCAGCUGUGAAAGUUUGGGGCUCAACCUUAAAAUUGCAGUUGAUACUGGUUUCCUUGAGUACGGUACAGGUGGGCGGAAUUCGUGGUGUAGCGGUGAAAUGCUUAGAUAUCACGAAGAACUCCGAUCGCGGAGGCAGCUCACCGGGCCGGAACUGACACUGAUGCUCGAAAGUGCGGGUAUCAAACAGGAUUAGAUACCCUGGUAGUCCGCACAGUAAACGAUGAAUACUCGCUGUUUGCGAUACACUGUAAGCGGCCAAGCGAAAGCGUUAAGUAUUCCACCUGGGGAGUACGCCGGCAACGGUGAAACUCAAAUGAAUUGACGGGG